GUUAUUAACGCAAGGAAGAAUAGGUUAGUGAUUUUUGGUUCGUCAUCCAAUCUUGCUUUUCUUCUGCAAAAAUUGUCCACCUUAAUAGUGAGAGAAGGAAGAUGGAAGGCAUGGCAGAAGGAGCAGCAGCACCUUCAUUGCCCGACCUUGUACUCUCGCUCGAGCAAGCAUCGUUCAUGGCCAAGCAGCUUUCUUCUACCUCUAACCCAGCCCAUCUCCUCCAAAUCUACAAUUCUCUCCACCAGGCCAACCUCAACCUCUCCGUUUUCCUCUCUACACCUCACUACCCCCAAUCUCUUCCUCUUCCUCCCCCUUCCAUCAACGAUAAUCUCCUCUCCUCUGCAACCAGCGCCGCCUUCAACGACAGCGGCAACGAGCCGAUGCAGGUCGGCGAUGACGAAGAUGCCGAUGCCGAGCAGAAUUCCAAGGGCACGAUUGAAAUGGUUGAGGAGAAGAUGAAGGAUUGUUUUAUUAAGAACAAGCGGGUUAAACGAAAGCUAUCGCCGUCGGCCGCGGCUAUGGCGGAGGAAAGGCGAGUACAUCGUGAUAAUCGGUUUAGUGCGACGGCGAAGGGUUUCGAUCCUCAUGUUGAGAGAUUGCGGGCCUUGGACCUGAUUUCCCAGUUUCAUGCGUGAGGCACAGACGUAGCCGAGUUUGAAAAACGAGAUGGAAGAAUUUAGUCGCAUUCUGGGAUGGAGAUGACAGGUAGGCUUUACAGGGGGAAUUGAGUGCCCACAAGAAGGUGCACGGGUCUCAAUGCCAAUAUCAAUGCUCAAGAGUAAUGUAACGAGGGUCUAUGUGUCAUUAAAGGUUUAUUGCCAGUUUCUUUCAGAACUAGAUUACCAAGUGAGCCACUUUGCCAGAGAUCUGAGCUCUGUCGGUGCCAACAGGGCUUCACCAUGCCUUCGUCAAGUGUCAAUAUGUUAUCAGUUUUGUGCUAUUUUCCUUUCCCCCCAUGGCAUAUGAUGAAAGGAUAGCGGCGUUGAAGAGACAGGCAUCACAUCUGAUUUCUUUUGCGCACAUAAAUAAGCAGGGUGUUAAGAGCACGAUCAACUGCUACACGAAGGCUGAGGCCUAAAUCUACACUACCCAAUGCAAAAGAAUAUGGAAACACUUCUGUACAGAAGUAUGGGAUAUCCAACGAUGUAAUCAUGCUCCU